GAGGGAGGAGUGUCUAGUGAAGAAUAUAGAACGUUUUUACAGCAGCCUUCUGUAAAUAUGGAUGAUAGUGGAUUCUUCUCAAUUCAAGACCAUAAUGGAAAAGUAAUUAAUAAGAAAUAC